AGGGCACCACCAGGAGUGGAGCCUGCGGCUUAAUUUGACUCAACACGGGAAAUCUCACCAGGCCCGGACACCGGAAGGAUUGACAGAUUGAGAGCUCUUUCUUGAUUCGGUGGGUGGUGGUGCAUGGCCGUUCUUAGUUGGUGGAGCGAUUUGUCUGGUUAAUUCCGAUAACGAACGAGACUCUGGCCUACUAACUAGAUGGAGGAUCCCUUCGUGGGUUCUUCACUGCUUCUUAGAGGGACGGGCGGCGUUUAGCCGCACGAGAUUGAGCAAUAACAGGUCUGUGAUGCCCUUAGAUGUUCUGGGCUGCACGCGCGCUACACUGAAGGAAUCAGCGUGUCCUCCCCGCUCUGAAAAGAGUGGGUAACCCGUUGAAACUCCUUCGUGAUGGGGAUUGGAGAUUGUAAUUAUUCUCCAUGAACGAGGAAUUCCCAGUAGGCGCGAGUCAUCAGCUUGCGUCGAUUACGUCCCUGCCCUUUGUACACACCGCCCCGUCGCUACUACCGAUCGAGUGAUUUA
rnacentral:rRNA from 1 species